rnacentral:rRNA from 1 species
UAUCCAGACUCCUACGGGAGGCAGCAGUGAGGAAUAUUGGUCAAUGGCCGGAAGGCUGAACCAGCCAAGCCGCGUGAAGGACGAAGGUGCCAAGCAUUGUAAACUUCUUUUGUCAAGGGACAAAAUCAGGCUCGAGAGCCUGACCGAGGGUACUUGAAGAAAAAGCAUCGGCUAACUCCGUGCCAGCAGCCGCGGUAAUACGUAGGGAGCAAGCGUUGUCCGGAAUUACUGGGUGUAAAGGGAGCGUAGGCGGGAUGGCAAGUUGGGUGUUAAAUCUACCGGCUCAACUGGUAGUCGCACUCAAAGCUGCUAUUCUUGAGUGAAGUAGAGGCAGGCGGAAUUCCUAGUGUAGCGGUGAAAUGCGUAGAUAUUAGGAGGAACACCAGUGGCGAAGGCGGCCUGCUGGGCUUUUACUGACGCUGAGGCUCGAAAGUGUGGGGAGCAAACAGGAUUAGAUACCCUAGUAA